rnacentral:rRNA from 1 species
AUUGAACGCUGGCUGCAGGCCUAACACCUGCAAGUCGCACGAGUGGCGGACUGGUGAGUAAUGUCUGGGAAACUGCCUGAUGGAGGGGGAUCACUACUGGAAACUGUAGCUAAUACCGCAUACCAUCGGAUGUGCCCCGAUGGGAUUAGCUCGUAGGUGGGGUAAAGGCUCACCUAGGCGACGUUCCCUAGCUGGUCUGAGAGGAUGACCAGCCACACUGGAACUGAGACACGGUCAGGACUCCUACGGGAGGAAGUAGUGGGGAAUAUUGCACGAGGGGCGCAAGCCUGAUGCAGCCAGGCGGGGUGUAUGAAGAAGGCCGGCGGGUAGUAAAGAACUUUCAGCGUGGAGGCGUUACCCGCAGAAGAAGCACCGGCUAACUCCGUGCCAGCAGCCGCGGUAAUAC